rnacentral:tRNA from 1 species
GCCUCCGUAGCUCAGUAGGAUAGAGCAGCGGCUUCCUAAGCCGAAGGUCACACGUUCGAAUCGUGUCGGGGGCGCAA